GGAGGGAUGCCGGAGUGGUUGAACGGGGCGGUCUCGAAAACCGUUGAACUCGCGAGAGUUCCGAGGGUUCGAAUCCCUCUCCCUCCGCCA
rnacentral:tRNA from 1 species